rnacentral:tRNA from 1 species
GCCGAAGUGGUGGAAUCGGCAGACGCGCCGGACUCAAAAUCCGGUGGGCUAUAAACCCGUGCGGGUUCAAGUCCCGCCUUCGGCACCA